rnacentral:snRNA from 1 species
GGGUGUGAGGUCAGUCUAGCUGAGACACCUGUCACCCCACUGAUAGUCAGGCUGAUGUGGCUGACUAGCUGGGUGUCUUCUUCCUCCCUCAGGGCUCCAUGGGUGUCCCUCCCAAUGCUGAGCACUGGGUCAAAGAGGAGGACCUUCCCCCAUUAGAGACGAAGCUGCCUUUUGUAGGUCGAGGGUAUCAGAGUGUCUGUGUUCCCCUAAGAACCUCCAAACAAGUUCCCUUUGGUCUCUAAAGUUUGGCUCCGGGUGGGAAAGUGAUGAAGCAGUAGUGACUGGACUACAUGC